UCCGAAGGGAGCUAUCGUUGUUCGGAAUCACUGGGCGUAAAGCGCACGUAGGCGGAUUUGUAAGUCAGGGGUGAAAUCCCGGGGCUCAACCUCGGAACUGCCUUUGAUACUGCAAGUCUCGAGUCCGGAAGAGGUGGGUGGAAUUCCUAGUGUAGAGGUGAAAUUCGUAGAUAUUAGGAAGAACACCGGUGGCGAAGGCGGCCCACUGGUCCGGUUCUGACGCUGAGGUGCGAAAGCGUGGGGAGAAAACAGG
rnacentral:rRNA from 1 species